rnacentral:rRNA from 1 species
UAGCAUAUCAGAAGGCACACCCGGAGAACUGAAACAUCUUAGUACCCGGAGGAAGAGAAAGAAAAUUCGAUUCCCUUAGUAGCGGCGAGCGAAACGGGAAGAGCCCAAACCAACAAGCUUGCUUGUUGGGGUUGUAGGACACUCUAUACGGAGUUACAAAGGACGACAUUAGACGAAUCAUCUGGAAAGAUGAAUCAAAGAAGGUAAUAAUCCUGUAGUCGAAAAUGUUGUCUCUCUUGAGUGGAUCCUGAGUACGACGGAGCACGUGAAAUUCCGUCGGAAUCUGGGAGGACCAUCUCCUAAGGCUAAAUACUCUCUAGUGACCGAUAGUGAACCAGUACCGUGAGGGAAAGGUGAAAAGCACCCCGGAAGGGGAGUGAAAUAGAACCUGAAACCGUGUGCUUACAAGUAGUCAGAGCCCGUUAAUGGGUGAUGGCGUGCCUUUUGUAGAAUGAACCGGCGAGUUACGAUUUGAUGCAAGGUUAAGCAGUAAAUGUGGAGCCGUAGCGAAAGCGAGUCUGAAUAGGGCGUUUAGUAUUUGGUCGUAGACCCGAAACCAGGUGAUCUACCCUUGGUCAGGUUGAAGUUCAGGUAACACUGAAUGGAGGACCGAACCGACUUACGUUGAAAAGUGAGCGGAUGAACUGAGGGUAGCGGAGAAAUUCCAAUCGAACCUGGAGAUAGCUGGUUCUCUCCGAAAUAGCUUUAGGGCUAGCCUCAAGUGAUGAUUAUUGGAGGUAGAGCACUGUUUGGACGAGGGGCCCCUCUCGGGUUACCGAAUUCAGACAAACUCCGAAUGCCAAUUAAUUUAACUUGGGAGUCAGAACAUGGGUGAUAAGGUCCGUGUUCGAAAGGGAAACAGCCCAGACCACCAGCUAAGGUCCCAAAAUAUAUGUUAAGUGGAAAAGGAUGUGGCGUUGCCCAGACAACUAGGAUGUUGGCUUAGAAGCAGCCAUCAUUUAAAGAGUGCGUAAUAGCUCACUAGUCGAGUGACACUGCGCCGAAAAUGUACCGGGGCUAAACAUAUUACCGAAGCUGUGGAUUGUCCUUUGGACAAUGGUAGGAGAGCGUUCUAAGGGCGUUGAAGCAUGAUCGUAAGGACAUGUGGAGCGCUUAGAAGUGAGAAUGCCGGUGUGAGUAGCGAAAGACGGGUGAGAAUCCCGUCCACCGAUUGACUAAGGUUUCCAGAGGAAGGCUCGUCCGCUCUGGGUUAGUCGGGUCCUAAGCUGAGGCCGACAGGCGUAGGCGAUGGAUAACAGGUUGAUAUUCCUGUACCACCUAUAAUCGUUUUAAUCGAUGGGGGGACGCAGUAGGAUAGGCGAAGCGUGCGAUUGGAUUGCACGUCUAAGCAGUAAGGCUGAGUAUUAGGCAAAUCCGGUACUCGUUAAGGCUGAGCUGUGAUGGGGAGAAGACAUUGUGUCUUCGAGUCGUUGAUUUCACACUGCCGAGAAAAGCCUCUAGAUAGAAAAUAGGUGCCCGUACCGCAAACCGACACAGGUAGUCAAGAUGAGAAUUCUAAGGUGAGCGAGCGAACUCUCGUUAAGGAACUCGGCAAAAUGACCCCGUAACUUCGGGAGAAGGGGUGCUCUUUAGGGUUAACGCCCAGAAGAGCCGCAGUGAAUAGGCCCAAGCGACUGUUUAUCAAAAACACAGGUCUCUGCUAAACCGUAAGGUGAUGUAUAGGGGCUGACGCCUGCCCGGUGCUGGAAGGUUAAGAGGAGUGGUUAGCUUCUGCGAAGCUACGAAUCGAAGCCCCAGUAAACGGCGGCCGUAACUAUAACGGUCCUAAGGUAGCGAAAUUCCUUGUCGGGUAAGUUCCGACCCGCACGAAAGGCGUAACGAUUUGGGCACUGUCUCAACGAGAGACUCGGUGAAAUCAUAGUACCUGUGAAGAUGCAGGUUACCCGCGACAGGACGGAAAGACCCCGUGGAGCUUUACUGUAGCCUGAUAUUGAAAUUCGGCACAGCUUGUACAGGAUAGGUAGGAGCCUUUGAAACGUGAGCGCUAGCUUACGUGGAGGCGCUGGUGGGAUACUACCCUAGCUGUGUUGGCUUUCUAACCCGCACCACUUAUCGUGGUGGGAGACAGUGUCAGGCGGGCAGUUUGACUGGGGCGGUCGCCUCCUAAAAGGUAACGGAGGCGCUCAAAGGUUCCCUCAGAAUGGUUGGAAAUCAUUCAUAGAGUGUAAAGGCAUAAGGGAGCUUGACUGCGAGACCUACAAGUCGAGCAGGGUCGAAAGACGGACUUAGUGAUCCGGUGGUUCCGCAUGGAAGGGCCAUCGCUCAACGGAUAAAAGCUACCCCGGGGAUAACAGGCUUAUCUCCCCCAAGAGUUCACAUCGACGGGGAGGUUUGGCACCUCGAUGUCGGCUCAUCGCAUCCUGGGGCUGUAGUCGGUCCCAAGGGUUGGGCUGUUCGCCCAUUAAAGCGGUACGCGAGCUGGGUUCAGAACGUCGUGAGACAGUUCGGUCCCUAUCCGUCGUGGGCGUAGGAAAUUUGAGAGGAGCUGUCCUUAGUACGAGAGGACCGGGAUGGACAUACCUCUGGUGUACCAGUUGUCGUGCCAACGGCAUAGCUGGGUAGCUAUGUGUGGACGGGAUAAGUGCUGAAAGCAUCUAAGCAUGAAGCCCCCCUCAAGAUGAGAUUUCCCAACUUCGGUUAUAAGAUCCCUCAAAGAUGAUGAGGUUAAUAGGUUCGAGGUGGAAGCAUGGUGACAUGUGGAGCUGACGAAUACUAAUCGAUCGAAGACUUAAUCAA